GGAGAGGUGUCAGAGCGGUUGAAUGAACAGGUCUUGAAAACCUGCGUGGCAGCAAUGUCACCGCGAGUUCGAAUCUCGCCCUCUCCG
rfam:Microgenomates (Roizmanbacteria) bacterium GW2011_GWC2_34_23 TR56_C0001, whole genome shotgun sequence.